rnacentral:tRNA from 3 species
UGAUGUAGCUCAGUCGGUAGAGCGCAUCCUUGGUAAGGAUGAGGUCGGCGGUUCAAAUCCGCCCAUCA